CUGCUAGUUGGCACAGCUGAUGCCAAAACAUCCGGUCAACUACUCUACUGAGUGUUGGUGAGUCACGUCACGUGACCCACCUGACCUGUAUGCUCGAGGUUGAGGGACGAGCAGUGAAGAAGUAGCAGCCAACGAGAACACUCCUGCUCGUCUCUGGUAACUGGCCAAGAUGUGCUGAUCAAACAGACAGAACUUUCAUGAAUACCAUGGUGAUAAACUUUUUUAUGCAGUCUGGCUGGAGGAAUGGGCUGGCAACACAUUAUUUAUUCUUCAUUUUUUAUUUUCACUGGCAGAAAGUCUAGGCAUAAUGGAAUUACACAAGUUACCAGACACAUCAAUGCCCUAUUUCUGGUUGUUGCUGUAAAUUACACAUCAUUACAUUACAGUACUGUAUGUCUUUAUGAAAGAAAACACUAAUGUACUACAUUUUAGAACAAAACCAAAACUAGGAAAAUACUGACUACUAUCCUAUAACAUAUGUUCACCAAGGUAUAUUAUAUAUAAGAUAAUCCUCAAAUUACCAAGACAGUUAUGUUAAUAUAAGUUUAAAUAGGUUAUGUUAUUUUAGGUAAGAUUUUGCUCAUUUAUAAAUCUCCAAACAAAAUUUAAAUAUCAUUUAUUAGCUAAAACAGAAGAACUUUUAUAAUAACGUGUCCUUACAUAUAAAUAAACCAUAAUAAGCAUGACUCCCAUGAAGAAAUACUAUAACACACACAAGCACACAUUAAAGGAUGGGAAGUAUCAUAAAUGUGAUAAUGCAAAGAAAAACAGUAUCUUUGAUUGACAAUUUGAAGAGAACAAGAAUAAGAGGCAGCUCUCAACUUGUUACCUGAGAGAGUGCUAUUAGAGAUAGAGUGAACUUCAACCUUAUCACAAAGCUUGUGUUUUUUGUGGGAGUUCUCAAGUAAAAUAAGUGAUCAAUCAGGGAAGUUACCAAAACAGAGAGCAAACAAAGAAAGACAAAGAAGUGAUAUGCAAUAAACAGAGUAACAGCCCUCACUGUUCUAUGGUACGCAGGCCUACAGUGGCUGAAACAGCCAAGAAUGACCCGAGGAAGGAUCAACUACCUAAAGAUGUGCUGCCAGGUGUAUGAGAUGCCUCAGCAUCUACCAUAGCCCCAAGUUGUUGUGUGAUGCUUGUUUCCUACUUACCUAAUUCCAUCUAUCCACUCCCACUCACCCACACUAAACCACACACUCACACUAAACCACACACCCACAUUAAACCACUUACCCACUUUAAGCCACACACCCACACUAAACUGCACACCUACACCAAACCACACACCCACACUAAACCACACACCCACAUUAAACCAUACACCCACACUAAACCACACACCCACACUAAACCACUCACCCCACACUAAACCACACACCCACACUAUACCACACACCCACACUACAGUAUACCACUCACCCACACUAAACCACAUACCCUCAUAAAGCUGCUCACCCAUACUUAACUGCUCACCCACACUAAACCACUCACCCCACACUAAACCACACACCCACAUAAAACUACUCACCCACACUUACCACUCACCCACACUAGACCACUCACCCACACUAAACCACUCACCCACACUAAACCACUCACCCACACUAAACCACUCACCCACACUAAACCACUUACCCACACUAAACCAUACAUCAACACUAAACAACUCCAACCCAUACAUACCACUCUAACCCACACUUAACACCCCAAUUCAUAUUCCUCACCAACCCACAUGUAUAACCCCAACCCUCCACUUUCACUUCAAUCAAUGCACAUCACCCCGACUUACACAUAAAAUUCCCACCUCACCUUUCAUCUAUCUUCCUUCAACAUUAAAUCACCUCAGAGCAAACAAGAUUAUCAUGAACAAAAAAAAAAUAAAAUCAAACAGGAGCUUGCCUCUGAGGCUUGAACAAAGAUGCUGGAGGUGGACAGAAGGAUUAAUGAUGAGCAAGAAAGACUGAGGAGAAAGGAGAAAUUAACCAAGUUUAAGGGAGAGGUAGAAGAAACAGAAAGCACAUCGAGGGAAGAAAUAAGAGCAAACAGGAAAAGUGUGCACGCAAGCGAGCGAGCGAACGAGCAAGCGAGAGAGAGAGAGUAUCUUGACAACAAGCUUAGGGUACUAUGACAAGUAGACAGGCUAGGUAAUGCACUACCUGAAAAUAGACUGGAGACAGGGAAAGACAUGAGUCAAGAAAGUAACAUAUGCUCAGCAGGUCUGUAGGGAUGAGAAUGUAGAAUCAGCAAAUGACCCAGAGGAAAUAAAAGCAGAGAGAGCAACCUUGAUGAGACAAAAAAAAAAAAGGAAGACAUGAACGGCAGCUCUAAUGUAGGUCGACACAGACACUUGAGCCACAUGACUGCAAUCUCUCUUUACUUUGGCCAGUGACAGAGGAUACCUACUUAUUCACUAAAUUACUCCUUCAAAAUGACAAGUUCUUAAGGGUCUAAACUUUUACCGAAAACAAGAGAACCAGAGUGGAAAAUACAAAGGCAGGAGGAAUAAAAGACAGUAAGGGAGACAUGGGAGAGAAGAAAGAAUCAGAACAGGGAACAGAUGACUUAUCUUAGAAAAGGUGAAUCAACAGAGAGGGGAUAAUUCUAGGAAAUACCCUAACAAGGACUCCUUUUCCAGUACCUUUUGAAGUGAAGAAAACAGCACACCCAGACAACAUUAAGAGACAGAGUGUGAUACUUAUACAUAGAUGGAGUCACCAACAAAGUGAAUUCAUGAAAAAAAAAGGAAGAGAGAAAAACUCAGGCACAGAAUAGCUAUUCUUUCUUUCAACACACCGGCCAUAUCCCACCGAAGCGGGGUGGCCCAAAAGGAAAAACAAAAGUUUCUCCUUUUACAUUCAGCAAUAUAUACAGGAGAAGGGGUUACUAGCCCCUUUGCUCCUGGCAUUUUAGUUGCCUCUUACGACACACAUGACUUACGGAGGAAGAAUUCUGUUCCACUUCCCAAUGGAGAGAAUAGCUAUUAUGGAGAUGAAAUUCUCAAGAAUAAUAACAAAUGCAACAUUCCCAGGGAGAAAACAAAUAAUAACAAAAGAAAAGGGAAACAAAGGAGGAGCAGCUCUGAUGAUCUGAAGUUAUUGGAAAUUUGAAGAAACAUGGAUUCUACAGCAGUUAGUAAUGUCUGAAGAGUUAAGAGAAAUAGUGGAAGGUGUACAGUCAGAAUAACAGAACAAUAAUUCACAUAUUGGACAGUGGCAGAGAGCAAGAACCAUAAGGAGAUAUGACUGGGAAAACUGGAACAUCCUUACAAUGAAUUUUCUAAGUCAACAUGUGAAGGAAACAAGAAGUAGACCAACAGGCAAUUUCCAGUAGUUCUUUCACCAUCACAGGUCCAGCCAGAUGGCCACCCAAUGUCUCACAGAAGGAACAUGACACACUUUUAAGAUGAUCCAAUUUCCACUGGGUAGACUAACCCAACCACCACCAUCAAAUGGAGUGGCACAACAACCACAGUACUACCAUCAGAUGGGGUGACCAAACCACCACAGUACAACCACUGGGUGAAGCGACAAAAAAAAAUAAUAUUACCAACAGAAGUUACACUAGGACAUGGCUGAUAGUGAUUCAUUUUCCUUCUGAUUUGUAACUGGACUUCAUAAAAGGGAAGAUAUCACCCACUAAUAAAGGCCAAAGUGAGAGGGAAGGUUGGGAAUACCUAGACUCAAACCAAGGAAGGAAAGAAGACAUCCAAUUCCUUUAUCAAGAGCUCCUUUGUCAAGAAGGGAAGAGUGGCUCCACUUCUUGGGAUGAAGAGUCCUUCAGGAGCAUCAAGGCAAUGAUGAAAAAUUAAGUACAAUAUAAUACAACAAGAGAAGUGUAAAAAUGAAACCUCCUUUGAUCAUUUCCUGAAAGCAACUGAUGAACCACACCAAAAACACCUAAUUCACAUCAAUUUACACAGCAGACACUAAAUGAACAAAUCAAAUCCCAACAGUGUGUAUGGUCUGCCAUAUAUUCUGAUUGGGACAAUUUGAUUUUUUGUUGGCACUAUACACAGUACAUAUAUGUUUAUGCUACUCUUAAACAUAACAAAAGACAAAUGUAAUUAUCAAAGCUUUAAAGAGAAUGCAGUGCUACAUAUAACAAGCAUGUUAUCAUGUCAUGCUAUUUGAGUUUUGUA